rnacentral:lncRNA from 1 species
CUCAGAUACAGGGGCUACUAAGUGGUCUCUCAUAAAGUCUGGAAAUAGGAUGAAGACCAGAGUUUGACAUGAUAUGUCAUGAAAGUUCUAGAUGCAAAGGAAACACAGCAGCAUUAACAUCUUUCCUGGGGUCCUUCUACAGCUGAUGAUGAUCUAUGGCAAUUGGAAAUGCACAUAGCUCACAGCAGGUGUCUCAACAAUGUCUGGCAUUUCCAAGGUGCUUCUACAUGGAAUUUCAAAAGACAAAAUGUUGCAGCUACAGCAAGAAGUAUAAGGAAGCAGGGGAACGGCCUGGUGGGCCUGGUAGGGCUCUGUGCACCUGAUGCAUAAUGUCUAAACAUAAAAUAGACCAUUCCUGGAAGCCAGAGAGUCUGGAAACAAAAGUUUGGAAUUACAGGGAAGCCUUAGAAGGCAAGAUUAUAUGAAAAAAAAAAAAAAAGAAGAAGAAAGAAAAUGAAAAAAAAAAAAAGAAAAUAC